UACGUAGGGUGCAAGCGUUAAUCGGAAUUACUGGGCGUAAAGCGUGCGCAGGCGGUUAUGUAAGACAGGUGUGAAAUCCCAGGGCUUAACCUUGGAACUGCAUUUGUGACUGCAUAGCUAGAGUACGGUAGAGGGGGAUGGAAUUCCGCGUGUAGCAGUGAAAUGCGUAGAUAUGCGGAGGAACACCGAUGGCGAAGGUAAUCCCCUGGACCUGUACUGACGCUCAUGCACGAAAGCGUGGGGAGCAAACAGG
rnacentral:rRNA from 1 species